UACGGAAGGCAGCAGUGGGGAAUAUUGCACAAUGGGCGAAAGCCUGAUGCAGCUAUGCCGCGUGUAUGAAGAAGGCCUUAGGGUUGUAAAGUACUUUCAUCGGGGAGGAAAAAACAAAACUAAUAAUUUUAUUUCUUGACGUUACCCGAAAAAGAAGCACCGGCUAACUCCGUGCCAGCAGCCGCGGUAAUACGGAGGGUGCUAGCGUUAAUCAGAAUUACUGGGCGUAAAGAGCACGUAGGUGGUUUUUUUAAGUCAGAUGUGAAAUCCCUGGGCUUAACCUGGAACUGCAUUUUGAAACUGAAAUACUAGAGUAUCGUAGAGGGAGGUAGAAUUCUAGGUGUAGCGGUGAAAUGCGUAGAUAUCUGGAGGAAUACCUGUGGCGAAAGCGGCCUCCUAAACGAAUACUGACACUGAGGUGCGAAAGCGUGGGGAGCGAAACAGGGAUUAGA
rnacentral:rRNA from 1 species